AGGUCCCCGCCGCCACUGCCGCCACUCCUCUUCCUCCUCAGCCGCCGCCGCCGCCGCCUCCUCCGCCGCCGCGGCCGCCUCCACCGCCGCCAAGGUUCACACUCAGCCGCCGUCGCCGUAAAGCGCCUCGGCUGUUACCCCGGGGCCUCAACUGGAAGUCUGAGGAUUAGAAUCAUCUGAAAACUUUUCACUUUCAUGUUGGUGAUUGAUACUGGCUGGAGGCUGCUGGCUGGAAACCUCAGCUCAACUCCAUGUAGACCUCUCCAGGUGGUCUCUUAAUAUGGACUGCUUUGGGCUUUUUCACAGCAUGAUGGCUAGGUUCCCAGGGCUAGGAACGGUCUUCCUGAUCUGUGUAGCCUUGGAACCUGAUGCAGUGCUUGGAACUAAUAAGUCCUCAUGAAACACUUGCACUUUGUUAGGAGGACAUUAAGGCUAUGUCUCAACUCGACCAGAAGGUGCCACAAUGAGUCAGCACUAUCCGUCAUAGGCACGCAGAAGAGGAGGGGAAUAUACGUGUGAUCAUAUGUGCAGCUAUUUCAAACAAUGCUUUCUUGAAUAAAAUGAGUAGAAUACUCACUUGUAUGAGUAUUCCAGAGGACAAAUUGCUGGAAGCAGAAGUGUUAGGUCAAAGGCAUGUGCAUUAAAAACAUUGAUAUUUUUCAAAUUACUCUCAAAAGAUGUUUCACUUAUACGUCCUCACUUGUAUGAGAAUGCUAGUCUUAUUAAAUCAAUGCCAACAAUUAUUUAUAGGUGGAAAUAGUAACUUGUUUUAAUUGCUCUUGCUUUAAUUAGGAAUAAUGUGAUCUUUCUGCAUUUUCAUACCUUAUUCUGAGAAUUGCCUGUUAAUUUUCCUUUCCUCAGUGUUACAUUGCAUUUUUUCUAAAAGCUCUUCCAGAAAUGGUUAAUGAGUGAACAGAUGAUAAUAAAACAUUAUCUCAAAGUA